AAGUCGUAACAAGGUUUCCGUAGGUGAACCUGCGGAAGGAUCAUUAACACGUAUCCAAACGUAAAAAACCCCCCCCGUGAACAUUCAAUCCUGCUCUUGUAACCCGCGUAGUUCGCAAUCUCUGGUAAAUCAUAGCCCGGAAAGUAGUUUUGAUUCAGAGACCUCUGGCUACGUGAGAACAUUGGAACAGUUACAAUCGAGCGGUAGUUUCAUAGGCAUUGUUUCCCCAAGCAGUCAGUGUCUGAAAGUGUCACUGAUUGUGCAAGGAUAGCGCUUCAACGAUUCCUGUAGACCGUACACUCGGGCAGGAGCUAUGCCAAAGGGUCCCUAUGCCCCCUUCUAACCCCACAGUUUAAUGUGAAGCUCAAUGUAAUACAUCGGGUACAAAAACCAAACAACUGUUAACAAUGGAUAUCUUGGUUCUC
rnacentral:misc_RNA from 1 species